ACAGAUCGUUCAGAGUUUGAUCCUGGCUCAGGAUGAACGCUAGCGGCAGGCCUAAUACAUGCAAGUCGGACGGGAUCUAGAUCUAAGCUUGCUUAGAUUUAGUGAGAGUGGCGCACGGGUGCGUAACGCGUGAGCAACCUACCCAUAUCAGGGGGAUAGCCCGGAGAAAUCCGGAUUAACACCGCAUGACACAACGACUCGGCAUCGAGAUGUUGUUAAAUAUUUAUAGGAUAUGGAUGGGCUCGCGUGACAUUAGCUAGUUGGUAAGGUAACGGCUUACCAAGGCUACGAUGUCUAGGGGCUCUGAGAGGAGAAUCCCCCACACUGGUACUGAGACACGGACCAG
rnacentral:rRNA from 1 species